rnacentral:rRNA from 1 species
UGGGGAAUAUUGCACAAUGGAGGGAACUCUGAUGCAGCAACGCCGCGUGCGGGAUGACGGCCUUCGGGUUGUAAACCGCUUUCAGCCAUGACGAAGCUUCUGUGACGGUAGUGGUAGAAGAAGCACCGGCUAACUACGUGCCAGCAGCCGCGGUGAUACGUAGGGUGCGAGCGUUGUCCGGAAUUAUUGGGCGUAAAGAGCUUGUAGGCGGUUUGUCGCGUCGAUAGUGUAAACACGCAGCUUAACUGUGUGCCUGCUGUCGAUACGGGCGGUCUAGAGGGGGGUAGGGGAGAAUGGAAUUCCCGGUGGAGCGGUGGAAUGCGCAGAUAUCGGGAGGAACACCAGUGGCGAAGGCGGUUCUCUGGACCUUACCUGACGCUGAGAAGCGAAAGCGUGAGUAGCAAGCAGG